UUUUUUUUUUUUUUUUUUUGGUGAAUGAUUGAUUAAGGUAGGAGAUAGAGAUAGGCCAUAUGCAUCACCCGUAAAAACAGUUCAUAUUUUCUGUUUAUGCAAUUGUUUAUGGAACUUGUGGUUUGCAUUCAACAUUCUGAAAAGCCAACUUAUAGUUUGUUUCUCCUUUUUUUCACUCGUUAUAGAUAGUUGUGCAGGCGGCAAAUAUAGAUAAACGUUAAAAAAUUUUGACAGAUAAUUAAGGCUUUCUGUUGUAUAAAUGCAGGAUCUAUAAGCCCAUCAGUUAUCUUCAUCCGAUAGUUCCUAGCUACCCCUGUGAUAUAUGAACAUUAUAGGGCAAACCUAUAGAAGAAGAAAAAAAUGAAAAAUAGAGUGAUAUAUACUCUCUCGUCCCAUUGACAGUGUCAUAUUUUUCUUUUUUAUCUGUCCUAAAAUAAUUGCCACUUACUAAAAUUGGCAAUGAAAUCUUUCACACAUUUCUAUUACAUACCCUUCAACGUGACAACCCUUUCUUAUCUUUUAGUGGACCUAAUUAUGCACUUACCAAGUACCAACACUGCACUUAAUAGUUUGUGACUCCCACGUGAAAUGCAAAUAACAAUUGUGCAUGAUACUUUCCUCUAAAGUAGUGUGGAGACAUUUCAUUCUUUUGGGUUCCACGUGUCUUAUCAUACCUUGUGGCCUUUUUAUCAUUCAAUCUCGUAUGAAUACAUUGAAAGUCAGGCGAGGUAUUACCGGAAAUUAAACGCAAAUCAUUUAAAAGUUUAUUAAACUGUGUGAAAAAAGAAUCAGGACUAUCAAAGUGGGACGGAUGGAGUACAAGUCUCCCGAAGUGAGACACACUUUCUGGGGCGGAGGGGCGGAGGGAGUACUUUCUGACGUAGUAACAAUAUCCUGUAAUACUUUUAGAUGUAGAACGUAUAGACAAUGCAACUUUAUUGCUAAAGAACAGAGUGCUGAACAAAAUUGUUAAGUUUUAAAACUAUUAUUGUAUUUGACAUAAAAUGCCAGCCGUGAAUAGAGUAAAUGGAGCAAAAUGUCGUCAAACUAUUACUUUUAUCGCUUUUCGUCACUUAAUUAUUUUUGUAGCUAAAAAUAUCACAUAACUUUUUUCGUAGCUAAAAAAUGGCAUUUAACUUUUUUUUCUUAACUAAAAAUAUCACUCAACUAUUUAAAGAUAACUUAUCAGUAAUUACGUUAAGUUUGUGCAUCAAAGCCAUGGAAAAGUAACGCACGUGACUUGCACGAGAGACCGUUGAAGGGUAAAAAUGUCCGAAUUUUCUUUUAGAGACAAUUUGGAAAAAUGAACAAUAUUCUCAGUGUCAAAAUUAGUUAUAUUAAAGGAUCAAGAACUUUAACUAAAAUACAUAGAACUGCUCAUAUGCUCUCUGCGGACAUCACCUAAGCUACAGGAGAUUAUUUGUGCUUUUAGGAUUUUUAUUGUUCCACAAGGAGAAAACUAGAAGCUAGGAGAAGCUAAUAUCAUUUCUGUGCUUUUAGGAUUUUUUUUUUUUUUUGAGACUCUGACUAUUUUGUCCUGGAGCUCUUUGUCCAUAUCAUGCAUGCGAUUUUCUGGUAGCAUUUAUGGCCUAAAUUUAAAAGAAUGACCAAAAAGUUGCGUUGUUUUUAAUAGUUGUGUGACACUUUUUACUAAGGGAAAAAAAAAAGUUUAAGUGACAUUUUUUACUAAGAAAAAAGUUAGGUGACAGUGAGAGAUAAAAGGUAUUAAUUUGAUCACAUUUUGGCCUGAAGUGAAAAUAACAAUGACAAUAAACAAAUCGUACAAAUGUAAGAAUGAACGGAAACAAUUUCUCCUGGCCCUGACCCUGGCCCGCAUAAGAGCCCAUCUCACAAAGAGCCCUGAAAGUACUUUCGCCACAACAAAAGCGUGAAAAAAAAAAAGAAAAAAGAAAAGAAAGAAGCCAUCCAUAGAGGAGCCAAGUGGCGGGGGCUGUCCCUUUCCGACCGACGAGGAAAACAUACAACGUGCCGAGGGAGGAUAGGUAAAUUAAACCGUGCACGUGGAUAGACGUUGCUAUCCUCAGAUUGCACAAGGAGAUAAGGAAAUCCAGGUCGACCAAUCGUGGAUAAACUGAGAAACAAACGUAGACUAAGAUUUUACGUGAAAUAUCGCAUGGGAGUUUCCUCCAGGUGUACUAGCCUUCAAAAUUUUAGAAAUUUUUCGUACGCUGUACAUAACAAAUGAAGAGGGGCAGGAACGGUUCAUUGGCUAAGAUUUGGUAAAAAAAAAUUAUAAGAUUCAAAUUUCAUCUUGACCCUCGUUUUUUAACAAUGUGCGUGUGAGACUCACCAAAUUUUGAUUUAGACUUACACAUUAUUGAAAGUAAAUUACACUGCAUGUAAAAUGCACAAAACUUUCAGGAAUCGUUCUUGCCCCGGGUCCACAUAUAAAACUUCGUGCACGUCAAAUGUUUUCGACGUAUUCUGAUUCUGGUCAUAAUCUAACCACAUUAAGUUACAUGAUCGAAGUUCAAAAAGAAAAGAAAAACAAAAAAAAAAUUGAAUAUCAGCAGCUCAAACUGUUGACGCUUGACAAAAGUUCAGAUGGAGCAAAUACUGGCAUAUGACGAGCGAUACUGGAAUUUGCUGACAAUUUGUUCCCCAGCCAAUUAAUAAUGUUUUGCUGCAGUAUUAAUUGUGUUUGACAAUAAUGUCGUUAAAUCUUGACUAUGUAGUUUAUGAGUAGGAGUUCGAAAGCUGGAUUCUGUUGGAAUGCCUGAUAACAUUUUGUGGCUCAGCACACUUCGUGAUAUCAUCCUAAACAAAGAAUGAAUGCUAUGAAACUGGAUGGAGUCUUUAUUCACAGAUUUCUUGUGGCCAGUUUUUUUUUCCUUCCUUUUUUUUUUUUUUUUGUGUAGGAGAAUAAGCUCCCAUCUCAAUCAAGCUUCAUAAAAAUCGUAAUGAAUGGCAAAAUUUCAUGCUCGUAUGGAUAUUGUAAUGAAAGUCUUGUACGGUUAAUUCUAUAUAUGCCCCCCGAUGCAGUGUGGCAGAAAACAACAAUAUUGAUGUCAUCAAGUAUAUUGCGAGUCCUUAAACCACAUUGAUGUUUAUAUGGUGGCCUUUGAUGAGGAUUAUUUGCAUCUUUGUGACUAAAACUUGUAAAUGACCUGCUCAUAAUGCCUUCACAAAUUGAACAACAGCUUUGGCGGCAUUUGAAGCUGCCAGAGGCCCAAAUAAGUCGAUUGGAUUCUGGCCUUCUUGUGCUCCAGCUUGGUCGGAUAGUCCUCGGAUGACAAUAACCGGAAACCCAUUUGACAGACUUGUCUGAAAGGCCAGAACACACACACAGUUAAUUAUCUUGGUUGUUAAAGGAAUGAUUCUGAGAAACGAUGAUUGAAAUCUGUUGAAAAUUGAAAGGUAUGUGAAAAUUGAUCCAACUUCUUGGUUUCUGCAUUUGUCAAGACGAAUUUAGACUGCAGAUUUGCAGAACAGGUGAUCAAGAACAUGACCAAGCCUGAGUUGUAAUGGCUGAAAUACACGGACAAGAGAAGGGAACUUGCCAUGACCACGGCUACACUCUCCAUAUCCACUGAGGAGACGUGGAAAGUUUUGUAUAGGAACUCCCCAUAAGCUGCAUUGUCAAGGAAAAUGUCAGCAGUUGCGCCGCUGAGUCCAACAACUAGCUUGGGCCUUUGAGUUAGGCACGAGCUCGAGUUCACGCACUGCUCCAGCACCAUCCCCUGUAACAGGAAAAAUAGCACGAGUCUUGAGUAUCUUUGACACUUAAUAAUUGCUAAGGUUUUUCAGGCUUCAGAACCUGAACGAAUGCAACGGAUCAUAAGCAUGGUUCGAAGUCUCGGCCGAGACCGAGACGAGAUGACUCCAAGAUACUUGACUCGCCAAGAACUUGGUCGAGUCACCGAGAAUUCGAUCGAGAAAUCUCCGAUACAGAUAGUCUUGGCCCAGUCGACCCGAGUCAUCUCGAGUCAACUCGCAAAUUUACAUUUUGCAAAUUUUCUUUUGCCAAUUGUUUUAUUAUUUUUGUUUAACAUAUUUUUGAAUAUUAUUUAUAAUUUUUAAAAUAUUAAAUGCUUCAAAAUUUACGUCUCGUUUGUCAAAACCGUAACCAAUAUACCAAGAUUGAUGUAAAACGAUUCGCACCGCGACCGCAACCGCGACUUUGAACCAUGAUCAUAAGGGAGUCCUAUACUAAUAAAUCUUCGAUUGAGAAAGAAGAGGAAAAAUACAGAAGAUAAGAGAAGGAAUUGUGUCGAGUCAUUUCUUACCUCAAGAUGAGUGUGUGCUAAUUCAAGCCAAUUCUUGCUUACGUGAAACCAAAGCUUUCUUUGAGCAGUAUUGGGCUUUCCCGACUUCGAAAAGAACUGCUCAGUGCUGUAUCCAAUGCUCCCCAAUUGAUUAUAUCCUCCGGAAGGCUCACUGUAGGCUCCAAAAUCCAAUUCAGUAAAAUCACCUGCUGGGACUGUCGCAUUAGGCUUCUGCUCAGGAAAAAGAUUCAUGUAAAUCAGUCGAAAACAGAUGUAUUAACAUGUUAAAAGCAAGAAAUGGAAGUUACGAGCCAAUCCCAUAAGCCCGCCUGAGCAAACUGCUUGGGGAUGGUAACAUCUCCUAUGGACAUGGAAUUAUUAAUACUGCCCGCGAUGCCAAAAUGCACUACUCCAAUUACAUCAAACAUAUCUAACAUUUGUUGCGUUGCUGCUGCAGCAUUCACCUGAGUGAAACAGGAUGAUGUUUGUAAGGUUGUCGUUGACCAAAAGGGAAACCCAAAAAAAUAAGACGAAGUACAGGAAAAAAAAUACAUAAAUCAUAGAAAUUAAGCACUUUAUGUUGGAAAUUUCUCUUUGUCUAAUAUUGUUCAGUUCGCUGCAUCUAAUCUUAGCUCCUUUAGAAAUGCAUCAAUACUUUCUCAUGUCCCAAUUCAAAGGGCUCCUAUACUUUUAAAAAAACAAUAAUAACAAUAAGAAUAAUCUGACUCAGCCGCGAACUAGAGAAAAUAUGAAGCCUACCAUUCCAACCCCGCAUCUCACAUAAAUGACUUUCUUUUUUCCCAUCUUCCCUACUCGGAAACGCCUGCCUGCAAGAGAAUAGUAGAAACCAGGACCUCUUCCUCAAUAAUCAAAGUUAUAUACGGACGGACUUUACCUGACAAGUCGACAUAAGGGUGUUUUUGGUGUGGUUUGAAUGCACCAGUGUCAAAGAAAGCAUCUUCUUCUGGGGGAUAAACCGUGAUCAAACCAAGAUAAGGCCCCCUAAGGUUAACCUCCUUCAGUAUUGUUAAUGAAGAUUCUAAUUUUUCUGCUGAUGACAAAAGGGCUGACAAUGACAGACAACACAACAGAGCGGAAGCAAGAUCAAUCAUCACUAAUCCUCUUUCAGUGACUUGUUUUGCAGCCAUUGUCGCAUUUCUUUUAGCAUAGACGAUAACUAAUGUUGCUUGGGAUUUCUUUUGUGCUCAAGCAGUCAAGGCCUAUUACUCAGUCGUGUCUGUCCCUUUCAAAUCUUCGAAAAAAUCUUCGAAAAAGAUCUGAGCAUUGAAGAAGGACAAGUUCAUAUUUGGCUCAUUUAUUGGAUUUUCAACCAUACUUGCAUGAGUCCACAUCUUCCAUUCAAAAGUUUGACUAAUUGGAUCAGUCCGGAACUAAUACGUUACUGCUACUAAGGAGUAGGGAAAGGUCUGAGUCAUCGAGGGAGAAGGUAAAAUGAAAUAGCAACUUUUGACAAUUUAUGACAACAUUUGACAUGAGGGCAGGCUUUAGGAACAGAUUCUCGCAAUCAGCAACAAUAAGCAAAUACAUUGGCUUCAAAGCGUACAAGCAAAUUCAAUCAAAUCCCAGAACAUUAAAGAGCUUCAAGCGAUGGCUUAAGAACCCUCCCUGCACUCUAAAUUCUUGCCCACCCUUCUUUCUGGAUGCACGUAACAUUGCUUGUCUUUGUUCUUACAUGCAUAUAGAGGUUGGGCAUUUAGUUGAAAGAAAACACUCUUGAAGCACCAACCGACCAAGGAGCCUUGCACACAGUCAUAUUCUGUAGUACAAACUUGAAUAUUAAAAUACUCUGUUGCACAUUAACUGAAAGUCAUGAAGCAAAAGAAGAUGGGUGUUGGAAUUUUGUUGAACCAAGACAGAAGCAGAUGUGAAAUUUUAAUCACUUUCUUAUAGUAAUAAAGUUCCUCUGGAGCAUCCAAAUGUGUUCAGAUCCCCGUGUUCCUCUACAAUAUCGUUACAUCGAAAGAAUAUGUUGUCAAAAUCAUAACAGAAUUCACCGGUUCUGAAGGGCCUCUAUUGCUUUCUUCCACUGAAGUGCUCUUUGUUUUGCAUCCUCAAAGGACAUGACUUUCUUCGGC
rnacentral:lncRNA from 1 species